AAUCUGGUCAUCUCGACCUUGGGAUACAUGGAUAUAAACAAAAAAUAUACUUCCAGUUUUGGAAAUAGUGCAUCUUGUAAUGCAUUAUCUAGACCGUCAAUAUUCAAAAUUUUCAAGUGUUAAUAGAUCUAUUUGAUUAACAAUAUUUUUUAAGAUCUAAAUUUUAUAAUUAGAGAUAAAAAUAAAUUUUCAAGCCAUCAUAAAGAUUUUUAAUGCUGAAAAUAGACACUAUUUGAAGGUGUGCCACACUUGACUGUUUAGAGACCCGUCAAUAGUUGAGGGGAUAAUAGUAACUCGCCAUUAAAACAAGAUGAAGAUAAUGGAUUAUUAUAAAUAGAGUAAUGUAAUCAUCCAUAUAUGGAUUUGAUGAGUAUAGUAAUCCCGUGAAAGAAGGUUGAUCUCCUCAAAGGGACUGGGACUGGGGUUGGGGUUGGGGUCGUGGUGCUAGCAUCCCCAUAUUUAGUUAGCAUUUUGUGGUUUUCAUUCCUACGAUUAAUACCACUUUACUAACACUUUAAAAAAUGUAACUUCUAACCUACAUAAAAAAAAACG
rnacentral:lncRNA from 1 species